rnacentral:tRNA from 1 species
GCUGGUGUGGCGGAACGGUAGACGCAGAGGACUUAAAAUCCUCAGCCUCGUAAGGGGCGUGCAGGUUCGACUCCUGCCACCAGCACCA